GACGAACGCUGGCGGCGUGCUUAACACAUGCAAGUCGAACGGAAAGGCUCCAGCUUGCUGGAGUACUCGAGUGGCGAACGGGUGAGUAACACGUGGGUAAUCUGCCCUGCACUCUGGGAUAAGCCUGGGAAACUGGGUCUAAUACUGGAUAUGACCUUUCUCCUUAUGGGGUUUGGUGGAAAGUUUUUCGGUGUAGGAUGAGCCCGCGGCCUAUCAGCUUGUUGGUGGGGUGAUGGCCUACCAAGGCGACGACGGGUAGCCGGCCUGAGAGGGGGAUCGGCGACAUUGGGACUGAGAUACGGCCCAGUCGCCUACGGGAGGCAGCAGUGGGGAAUAUUGCACAAUGGGCGGAAGCCUGAUGCAGCGACGCCGCGUGAGGGAUGACGGCCUUCGGGUUGUAAACCUCUUUCAGCAGGGACGAAGCGUAAGUGACGGUACCUGCAGAAGAAGCACCGGCUAACUAUGUG
rnacentral:rRNA from 1 species